rnacentral:rRNA from 1 species
AACGUAGGAGACAAACGUUAUCCGGAGUUACUGGGCGUAAAGGGCGUGUAGGUGGUUUCGUAAGUCUGGCGUGAAAUUUUUCGGCUUAACCGGGAAAGGUCGUCGGAUACUGCAGAACUAGAGGACGGUAGAGGCGUGUGGAAUUCCGGGUGUGAGUGGUGAAAUGCGUAGAGAUCCGGAGGAACACCAGUGGCGAAGGCGACACGCUGGGCCGUACCUGACACUGAUGCGCGACAGCAUGGGGAGCAAACAGG